GAGAGUUGGAUUCCUCUGAGCUUCCUGGUUCGGAGGCGCUCCUGGACGCCGUGCUGCGGACCCUCUACGACCUGGGUGAGCGUAUCUCCUGGGAGGAGGCGGCCAAAGGCAGCGAGAUGCAUCGGAAGGCGGCGGGACCACGGGCUACGAGAUUUCCUGGAGCCAUGCCGACCGGCGGGCUCUUUCCUGCAGCGCCUCCCUCUCCGAGACCUUUUCACCUACUUCUUGGCCGACCUUUCGCUCUCCUUCUCACUGAGCAGGAAAGAAAAAUCAGAGCUGGAUACUAAAGUCAGGCUGAAGUGCUCACGCAGAUUGCCUGACUUUUAGAACCAGACACGUAGCAAACGCUCAAUUGUGUUUAUUUUGGAGUGGUUACUCAAAAUUCCAAGCUCACUUAGACGAUUAAAAAGAAAAAAGCUUAGAACUCGGAAGAACGUUCCAGGUGUACAUGCUUUUUGUGUGUUUCCCUCAUUAACUGUUAGAGCAACCUUAAAUAUAUUAAAGGUUCCCCUUAAGAGCUCGAGUCUCAAGAUCUAGAGCCUGAUGUGACAUUCUGAGCCGAGUUUACUUGUCCGUUUUAGGUUCUCAGUGUCCAUGGAGUGGAGGACAGACAGCACUUGGCCUCCGACUUUUACAAGUUUUAAGACUUAAUUUUUUUAAAAUCAUAAAUAAAGUUUAUAUCCGCAUGUGCUGGAAUUUAUUAAGAUAGUUGCUCAAGUCACCCGGAUUCUUCUUACUCAUUUUU
rnacentral:lncRNA from 1 species